rnacentral:rRNA from 1 species
GAUGAACGCUGGCGGCGUGCCUAAUACAUGCAAGUCGAGCGAACGGACGAGAAGCUUGCUUCUCUGAUGUUAGCGGCGGACGGGUGAGUAACACGUGGAUAACCUACCUAUAAGACUGGGAUAACUUCGGGAAACCGGAGCUAAUACCGGAUGAUAUUUUGAACCGCAUGGUUCAAAAGUGAAAGACGGUCUUUCUGUCUCUUAUAGAUGGAUCCGCGCUGCAUUAGCUAGUUGGUAAGGUAACGGCUUACCAAGGCAACGAUGCAUAGCCGACCUGAGAGGGUGAUAGGCCACACUGGAACGGAGACACGGUCCAGACUCCUACGGGAGGCAGCAGUAGGGAAUCGUCCGCAAUGGGCGAAAGCCUGACGGAGCAACGCCGCGUGAGUGAUGAAGGUCUUCGGAGCGUAAAACUCUGUUAUUAGGGAAGAACAUAUGUGUAAGUAACUGUGCACAGCUUGACGGUACCUAAUCAGAAAGCCACGGCUAACUACGUG